CAUAAGAGGUCCUGCCUGCCCAGUGACCACAUGUUUAACGGCCGCGGUACUUUGACCGUGCGAAGGUAGCGCAAUCACUUGUCUUUUAAAUGAAGACCUGUAUGAAUGGCACGACGAGGGCUUAACUGUCUCCUUUUUCCAGUCAAUGAAAUUGAUCCUCCCGUGCAGAAGCGGGAAUAGAACCAUAAGACGAGAAGACCCUGUGGAGCUUCAGACGCUAAGUCAGCCCUUGUCAAACACCCCCCACCAAAGAGUUGAACACUAUAGGAGCCCUGAUUUAAUGUCUUCGGUUGGGGCGACCUCGGGGAAAAAGAAAACCCCCGCGUGGAAUAGGAGCACUACAUUCCCGAAACCAAGAACCACCACUCAAAGCAUUAGAAAUUCUAACCAACUAUGUGAUCCGGCACUCCGCCGAUCAACGGACCGAGUUACCCCAGGGAUAACAGCGCAAUCCUCUUUUAGAGCCCAUAUCGACAAGAGGGUUUACGACCUCGAUGUUGGAUCAGGACAUCCUAAUGGUGCAGCCGCUAUUAAGGGUUCGUUUGUUCAACGAUUAAAGUCCU
rnacentral:rRNA from 1 species